GACGAACGCUGGCGGCGUGCUUAACACAUGCAAGUCGAACGGAAAGGCCCUGCUUUUGUGGGGUGCUCGAGUGGCGAACGGGUGAGUAACACGUGAGUAACCUGCCCUUGACUUUGGGAUAACUUCAGGAAACUGGGGCUAAUACCGGAUAGGAGCUCCUGCUGCAUGGUGGGGGUUGGAAAGUUUCGGCGGUUGGGGAUGGACUCGCGGCUUAUCAGCUUGUUGGUGGGGUAGUGGCUUACCAAGGCUUUGACGGGUAGCCGGCCUGAGAGGGUGACCGGCCACAUUGGGAAUGAGAUACGGCCCAGACUCCUACGGGAGGGAGCAGUGGGGAAUAUUGCAAAAUGGGCGGAAGCCUGAUGCAGCAACGCCGCGUGCGGGAUGACGGCCUUCGGGUUGUAAACCGCUUUCGCCUGUGACGAAGCGUGAGUGACGGUAAUGGGUAAAGAAGCACCGGCUAACUACGUG
rnacentral:rRNA from 1 species